CGUAAUAUAUUUUUCAGUGAUGUCAUCGUCAGUUAUACACAUAAAUCGUAACUAUCAUUUGAUUAUAUUCAAUAUUCGACACUUCAUUUCGUUUCCUGAUCGUGUAUAUACCAAUUCAUAUUUCACUUUAUCGCAUAUUAACUGGCGCUCAAUUGUUUAUAAGAUUAAAGUUAUAACUUAUAAAAUAAUAUAACAUAUUCUUCUCAUAGAGCCUUCAAAUAUGAACACUUGGUUAUACCUAAUGCUGAUAUAUUCAAUAUCAAUAACAUGUAAGUGGUAUAUUUUGAUUAUUUAAUGAUUCGAGAGGAACUAACUACUGUAACAUUUAAAGUUAACUGGUUCAAAUAUGUUAGGUAUUUACGAAGAUAACGAAAUAACUACCUAUACGUUAUUUUAUUAAACUAUUUAA